AACGAACGCUGGCGGCAUGCCUAACACAUGCAAGUCGAACGAAGCCUUCGGGCUUAGUGGCGCACGGGUGCGUAACGCGUGGGAAUCUGCCCUUGGGUUCGGAAUAACCGUUAGAAAUGACUGCUAAUACCGGCUGAUGUCUUCGGACCACAGAUUUAUCGCCCAAGGAUGAGCCCGAGUAGGGUUAGGUAGUUGGUGGGGUAAUGGCCCACCAAGCCGACGAUUCUUAGCUGGUCCGAGAGGAUGAUCAGCCACACUGGGACAGAGACACGGGUGUAUAUGCUACGGGAGACGGCCGUGGGGGGUAUGGGAACAGGGGUGAACGCCUGAACGAGGAAUGCCGCGUGAGGGAGGAAGGCCUGAGGGUUGUAAGGCUCUUUUACCAGGGAGGGUAAUGAGAGUACCUGGAUAAUAAGCGCCGGCUACAGACGUGCAACGAGCCGCCGUAGAAC
rnacentral:rRNA from 1 species